rnacentral:rRNA from 1 species
UCCCAGACUCCUCGGGAGGCAGCAGUGGGGGAUAUUGCACAAUGGGGGGAACCCUGAUGCAGCGACGCCGCGUGGGUGAAGAAGCGCCUCGGCGCGUAAAGCCCUGUCAGCAGGGAAGAAAAUGACGGUACCUGAAGAAGAAGCCCCGGCUAACUACGUGCCAGCAGCCGCGGUAAUACGUAGGGGGCAAGCGUUAUCCGGAUUUACUGGGUGUAGAGGGAGCGUAGACGGCAGUGCAAGUCCGGAGUGAAAGCCCGGGGCUCAACCCUGGGACUGCUCUGGAAACUGUAAAGCUGGAGUGCGGGAGGGGCAGGCGGAAUUCCUGGUGUAGCGGUGAAAUGCGUAGAUAUUAGGAAGAACACCAGUGGCGAAGGCGGCUUUCUGGACUGAAACUGACGCUGAGGCACGAAAGCGUGGGGAGCGAACAGGAUUAGAUACCCGAGUA